rnacentral:rRNA from 1 species
UACGGGGGGGGCAAGCGUUGUUCGGAAUUACUGGGCGUAAAGGGCUCGUAGGUGGCCAACUACGUCAGACGUGAAAUCCCUCGGCUUAACCGGGGAACUGCGUCUGAUACUGGAUGGCUUGAGUUUGGGAGAGGGAUGCGGAAUUCCAGGUGUAGCGGUGAAAUGCGUAGAUAUCUGGAGGAACACCGGUGGCGAAGGCGGCAUCCUGGACCAACACUGACACUGAGGAGCGAAAGCCAGGGGAGCAAACGGG